rnacentral:lncRNA from 1 species
GUGUGGCCUGCUCAGCCUACACCUGGCUUCCUCAGGAGGAAGCCACAUUCCUUCCCAGAGCCCCACCCUUCAAAACAACAGAAGAAGAUCCAAGGCAGUGGGACCUGUGUCCAGCCCAAAAUUCAGCAGAGGACUCUGAACUUGCUUCCUGAGGCAACAUCCCAGCUCUCUGUAUCAUUAGCUGGGUUCUUAGAAAGGAUAUGGGCCUGCCCAAGCCUCAGUUUCUACAUCUGUGACAUCCACAAGCCAUCAUCAAAGCAGCAGCAUUAUGUCCUAGAACCACCCUGCUGCUUUCUGCCAGGAUCUCUCCUCUGUGGCAUAACCCUUAGAGACCUAUACAGGGCCCCAGGAGAAAACCCAAAGUCAUCUCCGAAGGGGGCUCAGAGAAUGCUGACAGUACCAAAGUCUUUACCCUGUCCCAUAGUGGGUGUUGGCACCCUUUGCACCUCUCAGCAAAGCUUCUGGGGACCUAUUACUAAGCCUUGGGUCCCCAGGAGAGCAGGAGUUCCUGCAACCACAGCAGGACUUCCCUGCUCUGGGCAGAGUCCUCCUGCUCUACAGGAAGUUGACCACAAGACCCUUGGCUGAAGCAAUCCUGUUUCCCUGAUGACUCUGGCUGUGAAUUUGACACUCCCAUUAGACACUCAGAAGCAGGGGAAAUUGGGCCCACAAUGGGAGCCUGUGGAAGAUAGAGGGGAGGAAGGCACUCAGGAAGCUGCAAGCCUAGGCAAUGGCAGGACUUUCUACUAGGCAAAGAACCCUGGAGACACAUGGCCCCUGAUGGGAAGCUGUAUGGUUUAGCAUUCUGCUAUCACCAUACUGGGAUUCUUCAUUUUAAAACAGGAAUCCCAUACUUUCAUUUCUCUUUGUGCCCCACAAAUGAUGCCACUUGUCCUGGUCAACAGGCUCGGUGUUGCCUAGUGACCUAAGUAUGUCCUUCUCUCCCAGCCUGGACUCUGUUUACAUAGCAUCAUACAAGUAAAGAAGGUCAGGCAAAAAAGGGCCCAAGGCAUGCCAUCUCACUCUCCUGAAUCCCAAGCAGACAUUACUAAUCAAAAACCACAGUUUCCCCAUCAUUCUCAGAUCCCAACCCAACCACAGAUCUUGUCCAGCAGCUUCAGGCUAGGCACUACUUACUGGGUACCCAGCUUUUCACCACUACCCUACAUGCCGGCCCUUUUACCUCCCAGGACUCCCAGCUCCUAAGCCCCUUCCUGUAAAGCACCCUUCCUUGAAAAGAGGCAGUACCCAAGAAAACAAACAAGAGGAAUGCCUUGUCCAGUGCUGAAACAUCUUAGGGGCCCUAGACUGAGGAGACCUAACUGAUGUGGGGGUCCGAGCCGUAGAAGGAUAGCUCCUUCUGGGAAGGGGUGGGAAGCUGGGCAACCAUGUGAGGAUCUUGGAUCCUGGCCUUGGUGUUCCUCUGUUACCAAUAGAGAGGGGGUAGCAUCCUGUCCCACUGGCCAGUCCUGCACAGAGGCUUCUCUGUGUGAGAGCAGUGACAGGGGAGAGGUAGCCACCGCUCUCCUCAUCUUUACAAGGAGCCUCAGUAACAGAAACUGUAGGGAAGCAGAUCUCAUACCUAGAA